GCAUCGAUGAAGAACGCAGCGAAACGCGAUAGGUAAUGUGAAUUGCAGAAUUCCGUGAAUCAUCGAAUCUUUGAACGCACCUUGCGCUCCAUGGCAUUCCGUGGAGCAUGCCUGUUUGAGUGCCGCGAAAUCUCCCACCCCUAGCGGUUGCCGCAAGGCGCCGCCGGGCGGCGGGGUUGGUUGGGUGCCGCUGCCUGGGCUUUGGCCCAGGCUCGCCCGAAAUGCAUGAGCACUUAGCACUCGCACCGUCUCGAGGGAAGGCGGCGGAGCUGGCAUCUGCGCAUGGCAUGAUACGUCAUUUGCUGUGUGGCAGCCCAGCGACCCGAGAGUGUGUGUGCGCUACUACACGCCCUUUCAUUUCUGGUCUCAAAUCAGGUAGGAUCACCCGCUGAACUUAAGCAUAUCAAUAAGCGGAGGA
rnacentral:rRNA from 1 species